AACGUAGGAGCCAAGCGUUAUCCGAAUUCACUGGGCGUAAAGCGCGUGCAGGCGGCUAGGUAAGUUGGAUGUGAAAGCUCCUGGCUCAACUGGGAGAGGACGUUCAAGACUGUCUAGCUAGAGGGCAGCAGAGGGAGGUGGAAUUCCCGGUGUAGUGGUGAAAUGCGUAGAUAUCGGGAGGAACACCAGUGGCGAAAGCGGCCUCCUGGGCUGCACCUGACGCUCGGAUGCGAAAGCUAGGGGAG
rnacentral:rRNA from 1 species